CAACAGGGAUUGCCCUAGUAACGGCGAGUGAAGCGGCAACAGCUCAAAUUUGAAAUCUGGCUCUCGGGCCCGAGUUGUAAUUUGUAGAGGAUGCUUUUGGUGCGGUGCCUUCCGAGUUCCCUGGAACGGGACGCCAUAGAGGGUGAGAGCCCCGUCUGGUCGGACACCAAUCCUCUGUAAAGCUCCUUCGACGAGUCGAGUAGUUUGGGAAUGCUGCUCUAAAUGGGAGGUAUAUGUCUUCUAAAGCUAAAUAUAGGCCAGAGACCGAUAGCGCACAAGUAGAGUGAUCGAAAGAUGAAAAGCACUUUGAAAAGAGAGUUAAAAAGUACGUGAAAUUGUUGAAAGGGAAGCGCUUGUGACCAGACUUGGGGCCGGUGAAUCAUCCAGCGUUCUCGCUGGUGCACUUCGCCGGCUCAGGCCAGCAUCAGUUUGCCCCGGGGGACAAAGGCUUCGGGAAUGUGGCUCCUCCGGGAGUGUUAUAGCCCGUCGCGUAAUACCCUGGGGCGGACUGAGGUUCGCGCAUCUGCAUGGAU
rnacentral:rRNA from 1 species